rnacentral:lncRNA from 1 species
CCUGAAUCUAGGGCAAAAGUGAGAGCGGCAGGUAAGGGUGAUGGUGAAGGAUAAAAGAGAAGGGGCAUAGGGAACUUUGGGACACUGGAUAUACUUACAGUCUUGGUUGUACCGAUGGCUUUUGGGUAUAUACGUAUGUCAAAAUUUAACAGACUGUACACUUCAAAUAUGUGUCAUUUAUUGCAUGUCACUUAUCCAUAUGAUAAAGCUAUUUUUUAAAAUCACCUUUUCCAAGCUAUGAACUGUAUACUUUGUGUAGAAGACUCCAUAAUCACUUAAAAAUAAGAUAAAGUGGGAAAUGAUUUGUCCCUCAAUAAUUGGUAAGAGAGGCCUUUCCUUCAAAUCAAAAUCCAUGGUCUGGAUCCUGGACCUUGGGGAGCUGAGGAAGGGUCAGAGGCAUGGUCUCAAGGUUGUAUCAGCUUAAGCUGCCCAUGAAGUCAGUGUGUGUGUAUUAGUCACUCAGUCAUGUCUGACUCUUUGCAUCUCUAGGAACUGCAGCCCCGCAGGCCCCUCUGUCCAUGGAAUUCUCCAGUACCCAGGAGGAAAUUUCAGGGUCAUCAUAAAGCAGAUGGUCAGAGGGUAGAGAACUAAGAAAAUGUGCCAGAAGUGGGGAAACAAGGACAGAAUAGAGAAGAGAUGGGGAGUGUUGGGACUCCGAGAGGAACAUUAGUCAGGAAGCCACGUGGGCAGGGCUAGAGGACAGUCUGAAGCUCAGUGAGAGGAAGCCGAGGGGCAGAGGUGAAAAGAGGCAAAUGCAGGCACAGGCGAGAGUAUGAGCCUGUGGUGAAUCAGCCCGUUUGGAUUUCCCCUGGUCAAUGUUUCAUGAGUUUCACUGGUGUUAGGCAAAGUCUAAAAGCGAAAGAAAUGCACUCACUCAACUGUUGUAAGACAUUACAUAAUUAACAGACAUCGUGUUCUUGUAUGCGUUAUGGAAAUAUUCAGGUUGAAACCCUUGAUGAAUGUGAUGUAAAGAAAAGGAAUCUACAAUUUGGUUGUUUAAAUAUCAGUGCAAGAAGGUAUUCAGAAAGUGUGUUUUCAGGACUAUCACAGGGCUCCAUUAAGGAAUUUCCAUUGGUCUGGACAGAUGGCACUUGGCAAAGGUGUGUAUUUAGGACGAAGCGGAAGGCCCAUUGUUAG